CCUACGGUGAGCAGCAGUGAGGAAUAUUGGUCAAUGGCCGGAAGGCUGAACCAGCCAUGCCGCGUGAAGGUCAGUGCCCUAUGGGCGUUAAACUUCUUUUGUGCGGGAGCAAUAAUGGUCACGUGUGGCCAGACGAGAGUACCGUACGAAUAAGCAUCGGCUAACUCCGUGCCAGCAGCCGCGGUAAUACGGGGGAUGCAAGCGUGAUCCGGAGUUAUUGGGUUUAAAGGGUGCGUAGGCUGUGAGGUAAGUCAGCGGUGAAAUUCCCCCGCUCAACGGGGUGAAGUGCCAUUGAAACUGGCUUGCUGGAAUGCGGAUGCGGUGGGAGGAAUGUGUGGUGUAGCGGUGAAAUGCAUAGAUAUCACACAGAACACCGAUUGCGAAGGCAUCUCACGAAUCCGCGAUUGACGCUGAUGCACGAAAGCGUGGGUAUCAAACAGGAUUAGAUACCCUUGUAGUC
rnacentral:rRNA from 1 species